AUUGAACGCUGGCGGCAUGCCUUACACAUGCAAGUCGAACGGCAGCGGACCUUCGGGUGCCGGCGAGUGGCGAACGGGUGAGUAAUAUAUCGGAACGUACCUUUCAGGUGGGGGAUAACGUAGCGAAAGUUACGCUAAUACCGCAUAUUCUGUGAGCAGGAAAGCAGGGGAUCGCAAGACCUUGCGCUGAUUGAGCGGCCGAUAUCAGAUUAGCUAGUUGGUGAGGUAAAGGCUCACCAAGGCGACGAUCUGUAGCGGGUCUGAGAGGAUGAUCCGCCACACUGGAACUGAGACACGGUCCAGACUCCUACGGGAGGCAGCAGUGGGGAAUUUUGGACAAUGGGCGCAAGCCUGAUCCAGCCAUGCCGCGUGAGUGAAGAAGGCC
rnacentral:rRNA from 1 species